rnacentral:sRNA from 2 species
AUCUACCACUGUCAAUCUAUCUAUCACUGCUAAUCUAUCGCUGCUAAUCUAUUGCUGUCAAUCUAUCUAUCACUGCCAAUCUAUCUAUCACUGCUAAUCUAUCGCUGCUAAUCUAUUGCUGCUAAUCUAUUGCUGCUAAUCUAUCACUGCUAAUCUAUCGCUGCUAAUCUAUUGCUGCUAAUCUAUCACUGCCAAUCUAUCUACCGCUGCCAAUCUAUCUACCGCUGCCAACCUACCUACCGCUGCCAAUCUAUCUAUCGCUGCCAAUCUAUAUAGAGUAAAUCAUGGUCCCAUUUGAUCCCAUUUUGUAAAAUGAAAUCAAAUGAAAUCAGAAUCACUAAUUUAUUAGUAAAACAUGAUCUGAGACUAGAUUUAUAAUAUAAACAGUGUAAAGUAACUAAUUUGCUAAAUACUAUAUGGAAUCAGAACUAAGAUAUCUAAUAAUAAGACUGAGG